CCCAGGGCUGUCGCCCUGGGCUAAUAUGAUUCGCGCCGUUGGCGCG
rnacentral:sRNA from 1 species